rnacentral:rRNA from 1 species
UAGGGAGCGAGCGUUGUCCGGAUUUACUGGGUGUAAAGGGUGCGUAGGCGGCCCUGCAAGUCAGAAGUGAAAUCCAUGGGCUUAACACGUGAACUGCUUUUGAAACUGUAGGGCUUGAGUGGAGUAGAGGUAGGCGGAAUUCCCGGUGUAGCGGUGAAAUGCGUAGAGAUCGGGAGGAACACCAGUGGCGAAGGCGGCCUACUGGGCUUUAACUGACGCUGAAGCACGAAAGCGUGGGUAGCAAA